UGCCCAGACUCCUACGGGAGGCAGCAGUGGGGGAUAUUGCACAAUGGGGGGAGCCCUGAUGCAGCGACGCCGCGUGGGUGAAGGAGUGCUUCGGCAUGUAAAGCCCUAUCGGCAGGGAAGAAGCAAGACGGUACCUGAUUAAGAAGCCCCGGCUAACUACGUGCCAGCAGCCGCGGUAAUACGUAGGGGGCGAGCGUUAUCCGGAUUUACUGGGUGUAAAGGGAGCGUAGACGGUUCUGCAAGUCUGAAGUGAAAGCCCGUGGCUUAACCGCGGAACGGCUUUGGAAACUGUGGAACUGGAGUGCUGGAGAGGCAAGCGGAAUUCCUAGUGUAGCGGUGAAAUGCGUAGAUAUUAGGAGGAACACCAGUGGCGAAGGCGGCUUGCUGGACAGUAACUGACGUUGAGGCUCGAAAGCGUGGGGAGCAAACAGGAUUAGAUACCCCCGUACC
rnacentral:rRNA from 1 species